AAACGCAGAAUUAUAGAGCUUCAAGUAGGAGAUUAUGUGUUCCUACAGGUAUCUCCAAUGAAGGGAAUUAAACGUAUUGGGAAAAAGAGCAAGAUAUGCCCUAGAUUUACAGGACCUUUUGACAUUCUCAAGAAGAAAUACAUCUUGGAUGAUCCCACUCAUGUAUUGAGUUAUGAAAACUUAGAGCUCCAACCAGAUUUGUCAUAUGAAGAGCAGCCAGUACAAAUCCUUGUCACUUAGGGGCCUGUAAAUUAUCGAGCAGCAGUUUCCACUCAGGUUGACUGGCACACUUAAAUUCAAAAUCAAGGUAAGGGCAAGGUAAAGGCUGAACAGCAAUGAGCUCGAGCUAAUGAAGAUUGUACAUAUUGCGACAAUUAGACCUGGAGUGUUCGAUCUUCGGGACAACAUGCUGUAUUUUGGUGGUUGCUAAACGACAACUUUUGUAAUUAAUUAUCUUGUAAUACAAUUUUAAAUUUUAAAGAAGGGAUCCCAAAUUAUGUAAAACUUUUGUUGAUUUAAUUUUAAAGGUUAAUAAAGAAAGUUUUAAUUA